AACGCACCUUGCGCUCCCUGGUAUUCCGGGGAGCAUGUCUGUUUGAGUGUCAUGAACUCUUCAACCCAUCAGUUUCUUGUAGACUGUUUGGUGUUUGGAUUUUGAAUGUUGCUGGUCUUUUGACGUAGCUCGUUCGUAAUAUAUUAGCAUCUCUAAUUCGAAUUCGGAUUGACUCAGUGUAAUAGACUAUUCGCUGAGGACACUUUUAUUAGUGGCCGAAUAAGAUAAUUGUAGACGCUUCCAACCUCUAUAGUCAAUUUUAGAUUAGACCUCAGAUCAGGCAGGAUUACCCGCUGAACUUAA
rnacentral:misc_RNA from 1 species